GAAAUAUGCAUGGGAGUAAGAACUCAGGAGUGUUUUCUGAUUUGCAAUGGCAAUUAGGAUAUAACUAUUAGCAAUAUACUUCUAAGUUCUAAUCUGCAUUCAUAUGCCUGCAGUGAACUAAUUUGUAUAUCCAAAGCAUAUGAAUAUUCCAGUACUUCACUACUUCUGGCACUAUAAGCUGCAUUAUCUCACAGGGCACAUCUGGAUGAUCAAACACAGGUCCUCAAACCAGUGGUGCUGCUAAAGAGCCUGGAUAAGUAAAGCGACCCGAAAAGAGCUCAUAUAAAUGAUUCCAUGCGGAUCAGGCCAAUCAAGUUUGAUUUUACACUCAUUAGCUAUCUUAAUGUACUAGAACUUACAAUGUAUUUUUUAAUCGUUAUGCCCUUUUGUAGACCUGUAGAACUUGAGACUUUGUGAACCUGAACAGUCUGUGCCCUUUUGUUAAGUCUAAACAUGUGGACAUGGAAUGUAUUUUUAUGACAUUUGAAUAGAAUGUUGCCUGUUAGAAAUGGAGUACA